rnacentral:lncRNA from 1 species
AAAUUAUACAAAAUUUACAAAAAAACAGCAUGGUAAAAGUUGUUUAAAAUUUGCAACACAGUCUAUUAUAGACGAAGUAUAGAAUUUGUAUGCAUAUCAAAUUUGUGCAAAUUAGUUUGUAUCUUACAUUUUGUAUUACACUUAUAGCCUAACUAAGAGAAAUGAGUUAUAGGUACAUUUUGUUUGUUUGAAAAACACUUUUCUGUUUAAAAGAAAGAUCUUUUUUUUUUUAAUUUUUGAUCUGUAAGAGGUUAUUUCUAGAGAUGUAAGUUAAUAGAUAACAAAGUAAAAAAAUUCAACAUUUCAUAUAAAUAGAAAAAUAGAUUAUUUUUUUGUUUGAA